UACGUAGGGGGCAAGCGUUGUCCGGAUUUAUUGGGCGUAAAGAGCGUGUAGGCGGCCAAGCAGGUCCGCUGUGAAAACUCGAGGCUCAACCUCGAGACGUCGGUGGAACCGUUUGGCUAGAGUCCGGAAGAGGAGAGUGGAAUUCCCGGGUGUAGCGGUGAAAUGCGCAGAUAUCGGGAAGAACACCCGUGGCGAAGGCGGCUCUCUGGGACGGUACUGACGCUGAGACGCGAAAGCGUGGGGAGCGAACGAGG
rnacentral:rRNA from 1 species